rnacentral:lncRNA from 1 species
UAGUAUUCCAGGGAGUGGAGUCAGGACCACACAGAUUCAGGGCUGGAAGGGAUCUCAGACCAUCCAGUCCAACCCCAGUACCCUGGGAAGAAAACCGAGGUGAGGCGGUGUCAUGUGACCUGCCUGGUCCCGUGGAGAGCCGGGCAGCGUGGGGGCAGAGGCUGGCCCUCCUGAUCUGCACCCAGGCGGCUUCUACACCACCCUGCAGCAGGCCUGGCCACCGGCCUCAGCGCUUCUGGGAGAAGGUCAGCCAGGUGGAAGAUGGAGAGGGCUUCUGGACUGAGCCCUGGAGGGGGGCUAGGGGCCACCAGCAGGCAGAUGAGCCCUGGGACCCAGCUGGCCAACCCACCUGACCACGGUGACAAGGACUGCUUGGGAAGGAUAAGCCCAGGUUCGGGAAAGCAAAUUCAGGCUGCAGGACAGCUGCCCGGGCCCCCCACAAGCCUGGCACCAGCCCAGGGAAGACUGAGGAGCCUCACUCCAUGGGGACUGCAAACACCUGAACACAGCGAACCUGAAGGUAUAGGGCAUCUUCAGGCUGCUACUGAGGCGGUCCUGCCGCACUCAACCCAGAACCUCAUCACUAAAAGGAACCUCAUGGUUCAGGCUAGAGUGCAGUGGCGCGAUCUCGGCUCACUGAAACCUCCGCCUCCCAGGUUCAAGCAAUUCUCCUGCUUCAGCCUCCCAAGUAGCUAGGAGUACAGGAGCUGCCAAAAAGCUUUCAGCUGCUGCAUUGGCCGGGAAUCGAACCCGGGCCUCCCGCGUGGCAGGCGAGAAUUCUACCACUGAACCACCAAUGCUCCAGCUGAGUGCUGUUCUGCCUCCAGCUGUUUUGUUGCUCUGAUUCACAGUGGUGAUGGCACAGCUGUAACCUGACACCUGAGAUGGGUCCAGCAUGGACAGCUGCUGGAUUUUACCAGCCAAACCUAUGGGAGGAGGUGGGGCAUGCAUGCUUGACAUUCUGCUCAGCUGUUCAAAAGAAAAGUCCAUGAAUGGCAAUGGGAGAAUGCUCAGCAAUUCUUUUGGCUCCUGUGGGCAGGUUCCAGACCUUACUCUGUUAUCCUUAAAGAUCUGAGUAGGCUUAGUCUUCCCUAUAAAAAAUUUCUUGACAAAUUAGCUGAAACUGUCAUUCACUUGUUUCUCUUGUUUUAUGGCCUUGUGGGUUAUUCUACUGAAUGCUGUGAUUUCUUUUACCACUGGUUGAUUUGUCUUGUUUUGCUGUCUUGCCUCCUUGACUAGACUGUAAGCCUCUGGAGCACAAGGACUUUGUCUGGUAAACACAGCUUGAUGUAUAACAGAUGUUUGCUAAAUGUUAGAUUUGUAAUAAAUGGAAUUUAACUAGAAAAAAAAAUCUGAGUAGGUUAUAUCUCAGUUUACUCUGGCUGCUUCGGCAAAGGAGGACAUCAACCCAAAGCUGAUCAGUGACCUCUUGGUGAGGACAGAGACCCAAGAAAUAUGAAAGCAUCAGGGUUCUAGAUUACAUCUGGAGUCAAAUUCCAGAUGCCAGUCGGCAUAAAUGUGGUUUCUUUUUUCUUUUUUUUUUGAGAUAGGGUCUUUCUCUGUUGCCUAGGUUGGAAUACAGUGGUGUGAUCAUAGCUCACUGCAACUUCUGCCUCCUGGGCUCCUGGGCUCAAGUGAUCCUCCCGCUUCAGCUUCCUGAGGAGC